AUGUCAGGACAUGUAGUCCCCUGGCUCCCUUCCUGUCUGCUAUUUUUCAGUGGCUGGUUUCCCACACCGCAAGCACUAGCUCCUGCUGGAUGGAUUUCACCUAUAGUCUCAGCUCUCCCCAAGUCCCAGCAAAUAUUUCUUCCCUUGUAUGUUCAAGCCUUGAGAAAUAGGAACACUUUUACACUGUUGGUGGGACUGUAAACUAGUUCACCCAUUGUUGA
rnacentral:lncRNA from 10 species